GGGAGUGGCGGCGUGCUUACUACUACAGUCGAGCGGUAAGGCCCUUCGGGGUACACGAGCGGCGAACGGGUGAGUAACACGUGAGCAACCUGCCCCCGACUCCGGGAUAAGCGGUGGAAACGCCGUCUAAUACCGGAUACGACCGGCCACCUCAUGGCGGCCGGUGGAAAGUUUUUCGGUUGGGGAUGGGCUCGCGGCCUAUCAGCUUGUUGGUGGGGUAAAGGCCUACCAAGGCGAUUACGGGUAGCCGGCCUGAGAGGGCGACCGGCCACACUGGGACUGAGACACGGCCCAGACUCCUGCGGGAGGCAGCAGUGGGGAAUAUUGCGCAAUGGGCGAAAGCCUGACGCAGCGACGCCGCGUGGGGGAUGACGGCCUUCGGGUUGUAAACCUCUUUUACCACCAACGCAGGCUCCCAGUUCUCUGGGGGUUGACGGUAGGUGGGGAAUAAGGACCGGCUAACUACGUGCCAGCAGCCGCGGUAAUACGUAGGGUCCGAGCGUUGUCCGGAAUUAUUGGGCGUAAAGAGCUCGUAGGCGGCGUGUCGCGUCUGCUGUGAAAGACCGGGGCUUAACCCCGGUUCUGCAGUGGAUACGGGCAUGCUAGAGGUAGGUAGGGGAGACUGGAAUUCCUGGUGUAGCGGUGAAAUGCGCAGAUAUCAGGAGGAACACCGGUGGCGAAGGCGGGUCUCUGGGCCUUACCUGACGCUGAGGAGCGAAAGCAUGGGGAGCGAACAGGAUUAGAUACCCUGGUAGUCCAUGCCGUAAACGUUGGGCGCUAGGUGUGGGGACUUUCCACGGUUUCCGCGCCGUAGCUAACGCAUUAAGCGCCCCGCCUGGGGAGUACGGCCGCAAGGCUAAAACUCAAAGGAAUUGACGGGGGCCCGCACAAGCGGCGGAGCAUGUUGCUUAAUUCGACGCAACGCGAAGAACCUUACCAAGGUUUGACAUCACCCGUGGACCUGCAGAGAUGUGGGGUCAUUUAGUUGGUGGGUGACAGG
rnacentral:rRNA from 1 species